rnacentral:rRNA from 1 species
UACGUAGGUGACAAGCGUUGUCCGGAUUUACUGGGCGUAAAGAGCGCGCAGGCGGUCGAUCAAGUCGAAUGUGAAAGCCCCCGGCUUAACUGGGGAGGGUCAUUCGAUACUGUUUGACUUGAAGGCAGGAGAGGGCAGCAGAAUUCCCGGUGUAGUGGUGAAAUGCGUAGAUAUCGGGAGGAAUACCAGUGGCGAAGGCGGCUGCCUGGCCUGUUCUUGACGCUGAGGCGCGAAAGCUGGGGGAGCAAACGGGG